CGUUUGGGGGCGUGCCUAAUCAUGCAAGUCGAGCGGACAGAUGGGAGCUUGCUCCCUGAUGUUAGCGGCGGACGGGUGAGUAACACGUGGGUAACCUGCCUGUAAGACUGGGAUAACUCCGGGAAACCGGGGCUAAUACCGGAUGGUUGUCUGAACCGCAUGGUUCAGACAUAAAAGGUGGCUUCGGCUACCACUUACAGAUGGACCCGCGGCGCAUUAGCUAGUUGGUGAGGUAACGGCUCACCAAGGCGACGAUGCGUAGCCGACCUGAGAGGGUGAUCGGCCACACUGGGACUGAGACACGGCCCAGACUCCUACGGGAGGCAGCAGUAGGGAAUCUUCCGCAAUGGACGAAAGUCUGACGGAGCAACGCCGCGUGAGUGAUGAAGGUUUUCGGAUCGUAAAGCUCUGUUGUUAGGGAAGAACAAGUGCCGUUCAAAUAGGGCGGCACCUUGACGGUACCUAACCAGAAAGCCACGGCUAACUACGUGCCAGCAGCCGCGGUAAUACGUAGGUGGCAAGCGUUGUCCGGAAUUAUUGGGCGUAAAGGGCUCGCAGGCGGUUUCUUAAGUCUGAUGUGAAAGCCCCCGGCUCAACCGGGGAGGGUCAUUGGAAACUGGGGAACUUGAGUGCAGAAGAGGAGAGUGGAAUUCCACGUGUAGCGGUGAAAUGCGUAGAGAUGUGGAGGAACACCAGUGGCGAAGGCGACUCUCUGGUCUGUAACUGACGCUGAGGAGCGAAAGCGUGGGGAGCGAACAGGAUUAGAUACCCUGGUAGUCCACGCCGUAAACGAUGAGUGC
rnacentral:rRNA from 1 species